rnacentral:rRNA from 1 species
CCUACGGGUGGCAGCAGUGAGGAAUCUUGGUCACUGUGCGGACGCCUGACCCAGCCCAGUCGCGUGAGGGAAUCAGGCCCUACGGGUCGUAAACCUCUUUUGCCGGGGAGCCCGGGCCGGGACGCGUCCCGGCCCGGCGAGUACCCGGAGCAAAAGCAUCGCCUAACUCCGUGCCAGAUGCCGCGGUACUAAGGAGGCUUCGAGCGUUAUCCGGAUUUGUUGGGUUUAAAGGGUGCGUAGGCGGGCUUUAAGUCAGCGGUAAAAAUUCGGGGCUCAACCCCGUCCGGCCGUUGAAACUGGGGGCCUUGAGUGGGCGAGAAGAAGGCGGAAUGCGUGGUGUAGCGGUGAAAUACAUAGAUAGCACGCAGAACCCCGAUUGCGAAGGCAGCCUUCCGGCGCCCUACUGACGCUGAGGCACGAAAGUGCGGGGAUCGAACAGGAUUAGAUACCCCAGUAGUC